rnacentral:rRNA from 1 species
AACGAACGCUGGCGGCAUGCCUAACACAUGCAAGUCGAACGAGACCUUCGUGUCUAGUUGCGCACGUGUGCGUAACGCGUGGGAACCUGCCCUUAGGUUCGGAAUACCUCCCCGAAAGGGGUGCUAAUACCGGAUAAUCUCUUCGGACCAAAGAUUUAUCGCCUUUGGAUGGGCCCGCGUUGGAUUAGCUAGUUGGUAGGGUAAAAGCCUAGCAAGGCGACGAUCCAGAGCUGGUCUGAGAGGAUGAUCAUACACACUGGGACUGAGACACGGCCCAGACUGCUACGCGAGGGAGGAGAGGGGAAUAUUGGACAAGGGGGGAAAGCGUGAUAAAGCAAUGUCGGGGGAGUGAUGAAGGCGGUAGGGUUGUAAAGCUGUUUGAGACGGGAUGAUAAUGACAGUACCGGGAGAAGAAGCACCGGCUAACUACGUG